rnacentral:tRNA from 1 species
CAAAAAGUAGUUUAAAUAAAAUAUUAAUUUUGGAGAUUAAAGAUAAAAUAAUAUUUUCUUUCUGA